UGGGGAAUAUUGCACAAUGGGCGCAAGCCUGACGCAGCCAUGCCGCGUGUAUGAAGAAGGCCUUCGGGUUGUAAAGCACUUUCAGCGGGGAGGAAGGGAGUAAAGUUAAUACGUUUGCUCAUUGACGUUACCCGCAGAAGAAGCACCGGCUAACUCCGUGCCAGCAGCCGCGGUAAUACGGAGGGUGCAAGCGUUAAUCGGAAUUACUGGGCGUAAAGGGCGCGCAGGCGGUUUGUUAAGUCAGAGGUGAAAGCCCCGGGCUCAACCUGGGAACUGCAUCUGAUACUGGCAAGCUUGAGUCUCGUAGAGGGGGGUAGAAUUCCAGGUGUAGCGGUGAAAUGCGUAGAGAUCUGGAGGAAUACCGGUGGCGAAGGCGGCCCCCUGGACGAAGACUGACGCUCAGGUGCGAAAGCGUGGGGAGCAAACAGG
rnacentral:rRNA from 1 species